UGGGGAAUUUUGGACAAUGGGCGAAAGCCUGAUCCAGCAAUGCCGCGUGUGUGAAGAAGGCCUUCGGGUUGUAAAGCACUUUUGUCCGGAAAGAAAUGGCUCUGGUUAAUACCUGGGGUCGAUGACGGUACCGGAAGAAUAAGGACCGGCUAACUACGUGCCAGCAGCCGCGGUAAUACGUAGGGUCCAAGCGUUAAUCGGAAUUACUGGGCGUAAAGCGUGCGCAGGCGGUUGUGCAAGACCGAUGUGAAAUCCCCGAGCUUAACUUGGGAAUUGCAUUGGUGACUGCAAGGCUAGAGUGUGUCAGAGGGGAGUAGAAUUCCACGUGUAGCAGUGAAAUGCGUAGAGAUGUGGAGGAAUACCGAUGGCGAAGGCAGCCCCCUGGGAUAACACUGACGCUCAUGCACGAAAGCGUGGGGAGCAAACAGG
rnacentral:rRNA from 1 species